rnacentral:rRNA from 1 species
UGGCUCAGAACGAACGCUGGCGGCAUGCUUAACACAAGCAAGUCGGACGCUCUGAGGGGCUUCGGUCCCUCAGGGAGUGGCGCACGGGUGAGUAGCGCGUGGGAACCUGCCCUGUUGUGGGGGAUAACCGAGGGAAACUUCGGCUAAUACCGCAUGCGCCCGGGGAGUGAUCCUCGGGGAAAGAUUUAUCGCAAUAGGAGGGGCCCGCGUCGGAUUAGGUAGUUGGUGGGGUAACGGCCUACCAGGCACAGCGAUCCGUAGCUGGUCUGAGAGGAUGAUCAGCCACACUGUUUUCUGAGACACGGGACCGACUCCUACGGGAGGUCAGCAGUGGGGAUUCU